rnacentral:rRNA from 1 species
UGGGGAAUUUUGGACAAUGGGCGAAAGCCUGAUCCAGCAAUGCCGCGUGAGUGAAGAAGGCCUUCGGGUUGUAAAGCUCUUUUGUCAGGGAAGAAACGGUGAAAGCUAAUAUCUUUUGCUAAUGACGGUACCUGAAGAAUAAGCACCGGCUAACUACGUGCAAGCAGCCGCGGUAAUACGUAGGGUGCAAGCGUUAAUCGGAAUUAUUGGGCGUAAAUCGUGAGCAGGCGGUUUUGUAAGUCUGAUGUGAAAUCCCCGGGCUCAACCUGGGAAUUGCAUUGGUUACUGCAAGGCUAGAAUCUGGCAGAGAGAGGUAGAAUUCCACGUGUAGCAGUGAAAUGCGUAAAUAUGUAGAGAAACACCGAUGGCGAAGGCAGCCACCUGGGUCAAGAUUGAAGCUCAUAAACGAAAGCGUGGGAAGCAAACA